AGCCCCGGGGUGUUCCACAUCAAAAUGCAAGUUUGAAGAAGAGCCCUAAAAGGCUCCGGGGCUU
rnacentral:tRNA from 1 species